AAAAAGAACGAAAAUGAGGAGGAAAUAAUGGAGGAAAAUAUUGAUGGUGAAGUGGGGGAGUGGAGUGAGGAGGAAGAAGUUGAAAAGAACGAAAAGAAUGGUGAAGUUGAAAAGAAAAAAGUGUGGAGAUUGAGAAAAAUACGAGUGAUGAAGUAAUGGGGGAGAAAGUGAAAAAGCCUAGAUGGAGGAGUUCUAGAGUUGCAAAGGGAAAGGAGGUAGUGAUCACUACUCCAAUCCAAAACCUUCCUUAUCCUCAUGCCCCGUCCAAAAGGGAGAAUGAAC
rnacentral:lncRNA from 1 species